GGAGUUCUGGCUCAGUGGUAGAGCGCUCACCUAGCAUGUGUGAGGCCCUGGGUUUGAUCCUCAGCACCA
rnacentral:tRNA from 1 species